UACGAAGGGGGCGAGCGUUGUUCGGAUUUACUGGGCGUAAAGGGCGCGCAGGCGGCUUUGUUUGUCAGGCGUGAAAGCCCCGGGCUUAACCCGGGAACUGCGUUUGAUACGGCAGGGCUAGAGUUCGGGAGAGGAGAGUGGAAUUCCCAGUGUAGAGGUGAAAUUCGUAGAUAUUGGGAAGAACACCGGUGGCGAAGGCGGCUCUCUGGACCGAUACUGACGCUGAGGCGCGAAAGCGUGGGGAGCAAACAGG
rnacentral:rRNA from 1 species